rnacentral:rRNA from 1 species
GUGGGGAAUUUUGGACAAUGGGGGCAACCCUGAUCCAGCCAUUCCGCGUGAGUGAAGAAGGCCUUCGGGUUGUAAAGCUCUUUCGUCAGGAACGAAACGGCGGGCUCUAACAUAGCCUGUUAAUGACGGUACCUGAAGAAGAAGCACCGGCUAACUACGUGCCAGCAGCCGCGGUAAUACGAAGGGUGCGAGCGUUAAUCGGAAUUACUGGGCGUAAAGCGUGCGCAGGCGGAUUGUUAAGCAAGACGUGAAAUCCCCGGGCUUAACCUGGGAAUGGUGUUUUGAACUGGCAGUCUAGAGUGCGUCAGAGGGGGGUGGAAUUCCACGUGUAGCAGUGAAAUGCGUAGAUAUGCGGAGGAACACCGAUGGCGAAGGCAAUCCCCUGGGCCUGCACUGACGCUCAUGCACGAAAGCGUGGGGAGCAAACAGGAUUAGAUACCCGUGUAGUCC